GAUGAACGCUGGCGGCGUGCCUAAUACAUGCAAGUCGAGCGAACAGACGAGGAGCUUGCUCCUCUGACGUUAGCGGCGGACGGGUGAGUAACACGUGGAUAACCUACCUAUAAGACUGGGAUAACUUCGGGAAACCGGAGCUAAUACCGGAUAAUAUAUUGAACCGCAUGGUUCCAUCGUGAAAGACGGUUUUGCUGUCACUUAUAGAUGGAUCCGCGCCGCAUUAGCUAGUUGGUAAGGUAACGGCUUACCAAGGCAACGAUGCGUAGCCGACCUGAGAGGGUGAUCGGCCACACUGGAACUGAGACACGGUCCAGACUCCUACGGGAGGCAGCAGUAGGGAAUCUUCCGCAAUGGGCGAAAGCCUGACGGAGCAACGCCGCGUGAGUGAUGAAGGUCUUCGGAUCGUAAAACUCUGUUAUUAGGGAAGAACAAAUGUGUAAGUAACUAUGCACGUCUUGACGGUACCGAAUCAGAAAGCCACGGCUAACUACGUG
rnacentral:rRNA from 1 species